CACUGGCUGGGAGCUUCAGUUGUCUGAAGGAGGCUGUUAUGGCAGUUCUGCAAAGCUCAGUGAGGAAACCAUCAUUCAAAACAAUGUCUUUCUGUUUGUUACUAGUUUUAAUGGCCUUCAUUGGUGCCAGUAUACAAGACAGCAUUACUCCAACAUCUCCUGCUGUCCAUGCAAAGGACAAAGAAAAAGUGACUAUUUCUUGUAAAUACCAGUACACCGUGUCAAUGAAUAAUCUACAGUGGUAUCGUCAAUACCUCAACUCUGAGCCAGAAUUCCUGAUUCUAAUCAUGGAGUCGGGACAAAUGCAGAACGCUACACCUCCUCACCCUCGGCUCACAGCCUCAGUUCAUAAGGGAAACAAGACGGUGAAUCUGAAAAUCUUCCCUGCAGAUGUGAAGGAUUCUGCCUUGUAUUACUGUGCACUGCAGCCCACAGUGGCAGGAAACACCAUGUACACCAUACAAAAACCUGCUCAAAGCUAA